rnacentral:lncRNA from 1 species
UUUUUUUCUACUCCUUUUUUUUUGAAUCAGUUGAAUUUUCAAUUUUUCUUUUCUUUUUUCCCUUUUUUUUCUUGAAUCAUCAUAUUUACUCGUUUUAUUUUAUAUUCCUCAGUUUCUACAAAGAUACCCAAAACUUAAAAAGGUUAUUAUUCAAACAAUAACCCAAACAUAGAAUAAACUAAGUUUUGAGAAUUCAACUUACUAACCCUGAAAAGGGUAGGGGAGUAUUUGGAUUGAGGGUUAUGAUGGGUGGUAAUAACAAAAAACUGAUAUAUGGCUCAAAGGGGUUUACCAAAGGAUAAUUAAAAUUAAAAGGGAUAGCUUAAAGGCUUCGGGUUAAAAUAGAAAAAAU